rnacentral:rRNA from 1 species
GACGAACGCUGGCGGCGUGCUUAACACAUGCAAGUCGAACGGAAAGGCCCUGCUUUUGUGGGGUGCUCGAGUGGCGAACGGGUGAGUAACACGUGAGUAACCUGCCCUUGACUUUGGGAUAACUUCAGGAAACUGGGGCUAAUACCGGAUAGGAGCUCCUGCUGCAUGGUGGGGGUUGGAAAGUUUCGGCGGUUGGGGAUGGACUCGCGGCUUAUCAGCUUGUUGGUGGGGUAGUGGCUUACCAAGGCUUUGACGGGUAGCCGGCCUGAGAGGGUGACCGGCCGGGGGGCGCGGGGGGUACGGCCCAGGGCCGGGGGGGAGGAGGAGGGGGGGAGGGUGGCAGGAGGCGCGGAGGCCAGCGGCGGCGGCGGGGCGGGGGGGUGGAGCGCCGGGGGGUUGGACAACGAGGUCGCCUGGGGCGAAGGGAGGGGGAGGGUGAGGGAAAAAAAACGACCGGCUAAGUACGCGCGGGCAGGCGAGGUAAGAAGCGGAAGAGCACGCGGCUGUCC